GAUCCCUCGACCACAGGGGGAGAGGGGCUAGGUUUAGGGAGGAGGCGGCGGGAGGAGGGGGUAGGUCUAGGUCUAGGGAGGGGUGGGGAGGGUAGGUGAGGGCGUCGGCUGCGGGGUGGGAGUGGCAGCUGCUGGGUGCGGCGGCGGCGUGUGGUGGCGCGGGAGGGGAGUGGGACCGCGUUAAGUUAGGUUGGGGCGCGCGUGUGGCGACGGCGGCGGCAGUUGGGGAAGGAGGGAGGGGAGGGAGUGUGGGUACCACAAGCGCGAGUUCCGGAGGCGGAGGGGGCGGGAGUGGUGACGGAGGAGCCGCCGCAAGGGGAGGAAGAGUCGGCGGAGGCGCCGCGGCUCCCCGGCGCGGCGGUGCCGGUCCUCUCAGAGCGAGAUGCCCCGGCGUGGGCGCUGGACGAUGGAGCGCGGACGCUGUUGAGGCCGCGACGAGGUGGGCGCGGGCACGGUGGACGGCGAGGGCGGGGCCGCGGCCGCGGCUCCGGUAGGGGCGGGUGGUACUGAACCUGCGGUACACCCUACGGACGGAGCUGGAGAGGUAGGCAGUAGCGGAUACGGGGAGUGGCCGAAGCCCCCGGAGUAGGAGAAGACAUUCUAGGGGAGGCAGGGUGGAGAGGGAAGGGGAGCGACGUAGCGCUCUAGACAAGCGACGCGGAGGUAAACAUAGAGCUCUAUAUAAUCCGGUCGACGGAAACGAGACUAGCUGUCCAACCUCAGUGCCUACUCAACUUGAGAGGGGAAAAGAGGAUUCUACUGUAUGAACGAAAGAAAGAGACCGGACUAAUGAUCUCAAUACUCGGUAUCAAGACUCAUGUUCGGUAUAUUUAUUGUCUUCUUUUGGUACUUGGUUUAAUGGUCUUCAGUAGAAGACCUCACGAAACGACUGAAAUUGUCUACAUCUUAACUAUGGUAGUGUCUCUGGGAACAGUCUACAUUACCGAUGUUAUUGUAAGAAGAACUGUAAAUGGGUACCGUGAACUGUUGUCGUCGUUCUGGCAUGACGUGGCGACGACUUGAUAACCGGACCGACACGAGACAUGGAACUAAACCAAAAUUCAUCGUUCCUCACGGAAUCAUGAAAACAGUACACCACAAUCAUGAACGUAAGACAAGACAAAACACAACAUGAGGUUAAUCCACGAACUUUAAAGCAAUCAUGGAGGUUUUAAUAGAGUACGAAAAUUCUACACGGUAACACAACUAUAUAAAAUAGAAAUAAAAAGAAAUGUAAAAUAUACGACAUGGAUAGAACCAAACUUGAUCUAUUCCUACUAGGAAAUGGAUCUACUAUUUGUUAAUUGAUCGAGUCGGAUUCGAUACUAGAUGUUUAAAGAACUGCCUGUACAUGAUGAAACCACCUCUACUACUAGGAAAGGGGUCUACUAGCUGUUACUUGUACGACUCGCGAUAUUAAAGAGAAAUCCUCUUUGGUUCGGUCCUGAGACUAGACGGGUCAUCAUGUCUAUAAACAAGAAAUAACGAACGAUGACAAAACAUCAAACAAUAGAAAGAAACCGUGGUACCUACAUAAAAAAUUACAAAACUAUACGGGUAAUACGCCACUUUUGACUAAUGAUCACCUAGAUAAGUAUACCGGUAGCUCAUACUCAGUAUCAUUAAGAGUUUAAGAGGUUUGUCUACAUCCAAAGAGACACGAUCUAAAUGAUGUUGUAAGAUAAACAAAAGUUACACGGUAAGCUAAACCUCCUAUACUACUAGGAAAAGGACUACUAACCGUUACUUGUACGACUCGAGAUAAUAAAGAGAAGUCUCUUUGGUUCGGUCAUAAGACUAGGAGGAUCGGUAACAUCUACGGACAUAAGUAUACCGGUAACACCUAUUAAGAUACGAAAUUAUUAAGAGGACUAUAUAGUGACAAAUAAUCAUCCUAUAAAGAAGACGAACCGGUAUUGUUGUUAAAGUACAACAAAGAAAACAUUAAGCUACCAACUGUCAGAGUAUAUAAUGUGAUCGAUUAUAUAAUGUUGUCUUACUUAGUUGAUGAGAGCACCAGCUAGGGUAGGUUAGAUCAUAAUAAAUGGCAGAUAGACAGACAUACAUAAAUGAGACUUGUUUUAAGUCAGACGUGUAGACGUAAACGUUACGUGUUCAUGUCUAUGUAGGCGGGGACGAUAAAAGAACAAUAUGUAAUGUAUCUGCGUAUGUGUGCGGCCCGAUAAAGACACAGACAGACGGACCGGAGAGUUCCUACGUAUAGAGAAAGCAUACAUAACUUAAAACAUUGUUAAAACAAAAGGAGUAUGAAUGUUCUACUACACGAGCGAUGAAUGUACAAAAGACUACGGCGUUGUUUCCUGAUAUACACCAAAGAAGUCACCCCAACAGUGACAGCGAGGAGUACAAGUUAUUGUAAAGUCGUAACCUGGACGAUCAGUGGGUUCGGUUCGGAGCGUAACGAAGUUGUUUCACUAUGAAGAAGGUUAGUUGGGGACGAAGCUGAGACGAGAAAAAAGGUAGAAGAGAAUAAAUUCGAUUCUUUCUAAGACUCAAACGUAGGUAGAGUAAUGUGAUCGAUCGUCUUAUAUAAUCAAUUCCGUUGAGAUGAUGUAUAGUUAAAGGGCAUGACCUAACCAAGAUAUAAAAAUUUCAACAAAGCACCACGUACUCGCGUUGGUCUUCUUUAUAUCCGAAUACUACUGUUAAAAGGAAGAAUUCAUUAGUAUCAACAACCGAAGCCAUCGAACGACUUAUACGAAAUCAAUAUAUAUCUUUACUGCACGGAAGAUACGAAUUUACUAACAAACCGAGAUAUAUUAAGAACUGUACUUAUAGAACUGAAGGGUUUGUUCAUAUCCUGACAUGGAUACGUAUGUCUAAUAGGAUUGUUUUGACUUUUAUUUUUAACUUCGUACUUUAUUCGUUAUUCACCAACUAAAAAUAAACGUACAAUUCGCCUUUCAACAUCGGUUCCGAAUAUAUAAUGCUUUAUAACAGUGUGGAGACUCGAAGAUGACAACAAUCCCUGUAGUAUCACACUAGAAGUACUAAAAAGUGAACUGCUACAUGACUAAGUAAUCAGUUCGUCUCUGGCUUCAGUAGAAAACGAUGACAAUCGAGAUACCUACAAAUAAAUGGAUGUUGAAGACGGUCGAGAUUCAACCAAUAUAUCGUCAAGUUAAGUCAGUUAGACAACCUUGAGCAAACAGAUAAUGAGCAUAGGUCUAAAAUAUAGGACGGGAUACGGUAACAGCUGAACGAAUCUAUGUAUUAACAAUACAGAACGUUAGACCAUAACUACUAACAGUUACAUAAGUAAAUAUGGAAAUAUCACAUGGAACAUACACUGGGUCGACUAAACAUAUUGUUACGAGACAAAGGUUAUCUACAUACAACUACGGACUACCGGCUAAGGAAUUUUGAAGUGACAACGUCAUCGUAAAAUUGAAUCACGUAUCUACAUACUCGUUAGUGAAUACGAACUUUGGAACGAGAGAAAGGGUCCUUGGUAGCACCAGACGCAGUGAUGACCCCGUCCUCUCCUUUCUGACAACCACAGAGGUUCUUCGCUAUUUGACGAAGUCUUUCUAGGGGCGUAUCGAAGUGAUGAUGACACAACCAGGUAAAGGUCUUAGCAUUCCUCACAAGAACAAAUCUGCUAGUGGAACCUACUACGAAAACGAAUUCCUCUCCGAGUUCUUCUAGUCCCUCGAGGUGUAGGCUCAAAGUCGGUAGGAGAUGUCGUUCCUCGAGACCCGGUUUCCUCGUUCGUCGCGACGAUCAAGGAACUCCGGUCUAGCUCAUUCUACCGCGUGGUACCGCACACCACCGCAUAAAACGAAGGCUCUUGUCAUGACAAAUAAACUUCACUCUACAUGAGUAGAUCACGGACCGUUUUUGACUUCCUACUUCACAGUACAUGACAGAUACAACAUCACUCGAUAUCCUCACUUUACUUUUAAAUAGACAACCACAUACACGAUAAAGGGACAUUACACAACACAUGUAAAAUGAACUUGUAAUUUAAGGAUCUUUUUUACAAGAAUGACCUGGACUA
rnacentral:rRNA from 1 species